rnacentral:rRNA from 1 species
GCUCAGGAUGAACGCUAGCUACAGGCUUAACACAUGCAAGUCGAGGGGCAGCAUGAACUUAGCUUGCUAAGUUUGAUGGCGACCGGCGCACGGGUGAGUAACACGUAUCCAACCUUCCCAUUACUCGGGGAUAGCCUUUCGAAAGAAAGAUUAAUACCCGAUAGUACUUUUUUGAGGCAUCUCAAAACAGUUAAAGAUUUAUUGGUAAUGGAUGGGGAUGCGUUCCAUUAGAUUGUUGGUGAGGUAACGGCUCACCAAGUCUUCGAUGGAUAGGGGUUCUGAGAGGAAGGUCCCCCACAUUGGUACUGAGACACGGACCAAACUCCUACGGGAGGCAGCAGUGAGGAAUAUUGGUCAAUGGGCGAGAGCCUGAACCAGCCAAGUAGCGU